rnacentral:rRNA from 1 species
GUCUACGGCCAUACCACCCUGAACACACCCAGUCUCUUCUAAUCUAGGAAGCUCAGCGGGUCAGGCCUGGUUAGUACUUGGAUGGGAGAAAACAAAAACACCAAUGUUAAUUAGACAGCAGGGAACUGAGUAAU